CCUACGGGAGGCAGCAGUGGGGAAUAUUGCACAAUGGGGGAAACCCUGAUGCAGCGACGCCGCGUGAGUGAAGAAGUCUCUCGGUAUGUAAAGCUCUAUCAGCAGGGAAGAAAAUGACGGUACCUGACUAAGACUGCCCGGCUCACUACGUGCCAGCAGCCGCGGUAAAACGUAAGGGGCAAGCGUUAUCCGGAUUUACUGGGUGUAAAGGGAGCGUAGUCGGCGCGGCAGGUUCGUAGGGAAAGCCGAGGGGCUAAACAUGGUACUGCUCGUGAAACUGGGGAGCUUGAGUGCGGGAGGGGCAGGCGGAAUUCCUGGUGUAGCGGUGAAAUGCGUAGAUAUGAGGAGGAACACCGACGGCGAAGGCAGCCUGCUGGACCGUAACUGACGUUGAGGCUCGAAGGCGUGGGUAUCAAACAGGAUUAGAUACCCUUGUAGUC
rnacentral:rRNA from 1 species